rnacentral:rRNA from 1 species
GCUUCGGAUGCAAUAUUGGUACAAGUCCUUUGGAAUUGGGCGUCAUAGAGGGUGAUAAUCCCGUAUCGACCACUUUAUUCAUCCACGUGAAGCCCUUUCGACGAGUCGAGUUGUUUGGGAAUGCAGCUCAAAAUGGGUGGUAGACUUCAUCUAAAGCUAAAUAUCAGCCAGAGACCGAUAGCGCACAAGUAGAGUGAUCGAAAGAUGAAAAGCACUUUGAAAAGAGAGUCAAACAGCACGUGAAAUUGUUGAAAGGGAAGCGCUUGCAACCAGACUUGCUUGCAAUAUUCAGCCUCCUGAAAAGGUGGUGCAUUUGUUGCUUGCAGGCCAGCAUCGGUUUCGACGGUUGGACAAAAGCUCGAGGAACGUAGCUCCUUUCGGGGAGUGUUAUAGCCUCGAGUAAAAUGCGACCAGUUGGGACCGAGGAACGCGCUUCGGCGAGGAUGUUGGCAUAAUGGUUGUUAGCGACCCGUCUUGAAACACGGACCAAGGAGUCGACCAAUUACGCGAGCGUUAGGGUGUAAAACCCACAACGCGCAAUGAAAGUAAACGUAGGUGGGAAGCUUUUAGCAGCACCAUCGACCGAUCUAAGUUCGCGAGGAUUUGAGUAUGAGUGUCAUUGGUCGGACCCGAAAGUAAAUAACCCCCCCUCUCUUACCCUCAAAAUUAUUAACUAACAACUUUGUUUUAGGAAGGUGAACUAUUCCCGAAUAGGUUGAAGUCAGGUGAAAACCUGAUGGAAGACCGCAGCGGUUCUGACGUGCAAAUCGAUCGUCAAAUUUAGGAAUAGGGGCGAAAGACUAAUCGAACCUUCUAGUAGCUGGUUCCUGUCGAAGUUUCCCUCAGGAUAGCAGCAACGAUAAACAGUCUCAUGAGGUAGAGCAACGAUUAGAGGCCUUGGGGUUGAAACAACCUUAACCUAUUCUCGAACUCCGAAUAUGUGAGAAGUCC